AGCGAACGCUGGCGGCAGGCCUAACACAUGCAAGUCGAACGGACCCUUCGGGGUUAGUGGCGGACGGGUGAGUAACACGUGGGAACGUGCCGUUAGGUUCGGAAUAGCUCCUGGAAACGGGUGGUAAUGCCGAAUGUGCCCUUCGGGGGAAAGAUUUAUCGCCUUUAGAGCGGCCCGCGUCUGAUUAGCUAGUUGGUGAGGUAAUGGUUCACCAAGGCGACGAUCAGUAGCUGGUCUGAGAGGAUGACCAGCCACAUUGGGACUGAGACACGGCCCAAACUCCUACGGGAGGCAGCAGUGGGGAAUCUUGCGCAAUGGGCGAAAGCCUGACGCAGCCAUGCCGCGUGGAUGAUGAAGGUCUUAGGAUUGUAAAGUCCUUUCACCGGUGAAGAUAAUGACUGUAGCCGGAGAAGAAGCCCCGGCUAACUUCGUGCCAGCCGCCGCGGUAAUAC
rnacentral:rRNA from 1 species